rnacentral:rRNA from 1 species
UACGGGCGGCAGCAGUGGGGAAUAUUGCACAAUGGGCGCAAGCCUGAUGCAGCCAUGCCGCGUGUAUGAAAAAGGCCUUCGGGUUGUAAAGUACUUUCAGUCGUGAGGAAGGUGUUAAGGUUAAUAACCUUAGCAAUUGACGUUAGCGACAGAAGAAGCACCGGCUAACUCCGUGCCAGCAGCCGCGGUAAUACGGAGGGUGCGAGCGUUAAUCGGAAUUACUGGGCGUAAAGGGCACGCAGGCGGUUAAUUAAGUUGGAUGUGAAAUCCCCGGGCUUAACCUGGGAAUGGCAUUCAAGACUGGUUAGCUAGAGUCUUGUAGAGGGGGUUAGAAUUCCAUGUGUAGCGGUGAAAUGCGUAGAGAUGUGGAGGAAUACCGGUGGCGAAGGCGGCCCCUGGGACAAAGGACUGACGCUCAUGUGCGAAAGCGUGGGGAGCAAACAGGGAUUAGAUACC